AAUCAAGCGCGAUAAGGGCGUUUGGUGGAUGCCUUGGCAGCAAGAGGCGAUGAAGGACGUGAUACUCUGCGAUAAGCCAUGGGGAGCUGAGAAUAAGCUUUGAUCCAUGGAUCUCCGAAUGGGGAAACCCACCUGAAACUCGAUUGUUGUUACCCUUGGGUAUCAACAAUUGGGUUAACCAGGUACUUAUCACCUGAAUACAUAGGGUUUUAAGAGCGAACCCGGGGAACUGAAACAUCUAAGUACCCGGAGGAAAGGAAAUCAACAGAUACUCCCCCAGUAGCGGCGAGCGAACGGGGACCAGCCGAGCCGUGAGAAUGACCAGAAUGGCCUGGAAAGGCCAGCCAUAGCGGGUGACAGCCCCGUAUGGGAAGUUUGAUCGGACGCAUUAAGUAGGGCGGGACACGUGAAAUCCUGUCUGAAGAUCGGGGGACCACCCUCGAAGGCUAAGUACUCCUUGCUGACCGAUAGCGAACCAGUACCGUGAGGGAAAGGUGAAAAGCACCCCGACGAGGGGAGUGAAACAGUUUCUGAAACCGGACGCCUACAAGCAGUCGGAGCCGCCUUGCGCGGUGACGGCGUACCUUUUGUAUAAUGGGUCAACGACUUGGUCUAUCUAGCAAGCUUAAGCCGUUAGGUGUAGGCGCAGCGAAAGCGAGUCUUAAAAGGGCGAAUGAGUUAGAUGGAUCAGACCCGAAACCAGAUGAUCUAGGCAUGAGCAGGCUGAAGGUUGGGUAACACCAACUGGAGGGCCGAACCCACACCUGUUGAAAAAGGUCGGGAUGACUUGUGCCUAGGGGUGAAAGGCCAAUCAAAUCUGGAGAUAGCUGGUUCUCCGCGAAAGCUAUUUAGGUAGCGCCUCGGACGAAUGCCCACGGGGGUAGAGCACUGCAUGGAUGAUGGGGGCCCACAGCCUUACUGAGUCUAAGCAAACUCCGAAUACCGUGGAGCACUAUCCGGGAGACACACGGCGGGUGCUAACGUCCGUCGUGGAGAGGGAAACAACCCUGACCAACAGCUAAGGCCCCCAAUUCGUGGCUAAGUGGGAAAGCAUGUGAGACUUCCAAAACAACCAGGAGGUUGGCUUAGAAGCAGCCAUCCUUUAAAGAUAGCGUAACAGCUCACUGGUCUAGUCAAGAGGUCUUGCGGCGAAGAUGUAACGGGGCUCAAGCCACGAGCCGAAGCUUUGGGUGUGCAUUUAUGCACGCGGUAGCGGAGCGUUCCGUGAUAU
rnacentral:rRNA from 1 species